rnacentral:rRNA from 1 species
CCCUUAGAUGUUCGGGGCCGCACGCGCGCUACACUGAAAGAAUCAGCUGGUAAGUUGCUCCUGGCUUGGAAACGUCGGGCAACCCGUUGAACCUCCUUCGUGCUUGGGAUUGGGGCUUGCAAUUAUUCCCCAUGAACGAGGAAUUCCCAGUAGGCGCGAGUCAUCAGCUCGCGUCGAUUACGUCCCUGCCCUUUGUACACACCGCCCGUCGCACCUACCGAUUGAAUGGUCCGGUGAAAUCUUCGGACCGGGCGAUGGUCAGCAAUGGCCGCUGCCUGGAAAGUCGCUUAAACCUUACCAUUUAGAGGAAGGUGAAGUCGUAACA